ACGAGAAGUAAAAACAAACGAGAAAGAUAUAAUAGGCCUGGGAUUCCUUGCUUGGCUGUGCAUGCGUGUUUGUUAUGUUUGCAUGGAUGUAAAUGUGCCAGUAAAUAUCAUUAGCCGGUGUACAAGAUUGGGGAAUUGAAAAACUAAUUGAGACCAACACAUAAAACAGGAUAUGCUGCUGAUAAAUCCCAGGACACAGAGACAUGUAAAACAGUCAAUGACGCUGCUCCCACAACUGCAUUGUAACCAAUCGCAAUUCAAAAGGCAUCCAACCAUGAAACCCAGGUCUAUGCUCACAACAGAGGAAGAUGACUGUCAUACCAUAAUAGAACAUGUUGACGAUGAUACUGAACAAAAUGAAAGCAUAGUUAAAUCUGGUCAAAAAAGAAAAGUUCAGCCAGAAAUGCCAAUAGAGGAGCCUGAAUACACAUGUGAUUCUAUUAAGAGCAAAUUGAGAGGUUUCAUGUGUAAAAAAAAGGUGUUUAUUUACAAAAGAAAAAGAUAUGUAUAUGAGUGGAACCAGUCCUAGUGGGGAGAAACAAUGCAUGCAUGCCAUAAAAUAAUGUAUGCAAAUUUUAAGGUUGGAAAAUGAAACUACUAGCUCAUGAGAACCAGGCACAUGGUGCAAAGUAUAAGCUACUUCAGUGUAAGCCCUACUAGCUUUUGAGAACCAGGCACAUGGUGCAAAGCAUAUGCUACUUCAGUGUAAACCCUGCAUCAAGAAGUUGAUAAUCGCCUGAAUAUGUCAGGGUGAACAACUUCCGUUUCAAUGUCAAGUCUGCCUGGCGAAAUUCCUAAACGAGAGCUUUUUGUGAAACACAUGGAAUAGACCGAAUCAGCGGCUCAGUGGUUUUAGUGGGUAUUAGGGUUUGUUUACAUCUAUGGAGAUCGCGAAACGACAGUGCAUUGAAUAUGGCUUCGCUUUGUUGUUGACGAAAAGUCACAUCAUAUAUGUUGCAAAUGUUGGUUGGAAUGCGAGUUAUAAUUUGGUAAAUCAUUUAAAAGAGUUCCAAAAUAUAACUUGUCGGUUUGGUUUGGUAAGGCUCCAAUGGAUAGUGGGAAUAAAGCCUGGAAUCUUUCCAUUUGUUGCAAGAGUAUUAUUUUACAGUUAUAUUAAAUUUACAAAAAUUAAAUCAUAGGAUGUUUGUAGUUACUGCCAAGGAUAUUAUGAUCAUCAUAUGACAUAAAUAUUAUUAUUACAUACUGGCAUUAGGAUAUACCAUACCAACCAGGCCUAUUAUCACCAGCCUGUUUCCUAGACCAAGUUUGGUUGAGCAAUUAGUACCAUUAUUUUCUACUUUAUUACCUACUCGACUACAGAGAUAUAUAUAGUUGAGGCAUAACAACUCCCUCCCUGCUCCGGGCCCUGGUCAAGGCUUAACACUCUCAGUGCACCCUAGGCCUAUAAUAGGCCUACCUGUAUGUAGUCUACCGUACACUAGCAGCAUUCCAGAGCCUAAAUAAAAGUACUUAUAAAUCACUAUUUAAAAAAAAAAAACACAUAGGUCUACUGCCUUACUUUACUUUGGGUGGCUGUCUAAAAAAAAUAAUAACCCCAAUAUACUGUGUUCAGUGAGCGCACUGUGGUUUACGAUGUGGAUGUUUACAUUUAGGACCCACUAUGUCACGUAACCAGUAAUAGUCCGAGUUUACCAUGUGCAAUUUUUUUUAAGAAUAAGAGCCUCUCAAUAAUAUUUUUAAAUUUUUAAAGGAGUGUUGAUUUCAAUUUAACGGUGUAUUCAAGGAAUCCCCAGCUGGCCCAACUCCAUAAUUUUUCAAACUUACAAAAAGGAAUGGUAAAAUGGAAAUUAUCAACAUUUAUGUCUCAGAGUGCCAUUUCCAGCCAUCUAGAGGUGCUAUAAUCAUAAAAUUUCUUACCUCAGCCCCAACCAUGGUAGGGCAGAGGUGGUCUUCACCCUCCACCUAUGAAAAUCUCUCCCUGGCCCGCAUUUUGAAUUCCCUGAUCCACCACUGCAAUUGUUAAUUCUAUGUGCCACCAAUUUUCUUGAUUAGUAUAGAAUAGCUGCUGAGACCAAAUAUGCCCCUCUUAAAAUAGUUAUGAAUCUAAUUAUCAUUAGUAUUUAUUACUAGCCUAGGCCUUUAGGAUUUGAGGGUAAAAGAAACACUUUUUACGAUGAAUUUUCUGAAAAAUUAGGGAAUUCCCCUAUCACAUCAGGGGCCCGGCAAUUAAUCUUGCAUUGGGACCCUUUUGCACUUACUAACGCCGCUGUUUUAAGAUCAUGUAACUUAAUAAAUGUGCUGCUAGUAGAAUAGUUCCAUCCAAAUGUUGUUUUACAUGUUGAUGCAUUUAAUUUUAUAAUUAUAUACCUUUAUAUUUUGAUGUAUUUUAAGUACUGUACAUAUUGCUCCAACAUGAGCACAAUAUAGUUUAGCAGAUUGCCUUAUAUUUUUUUAUGAUCUAUGUUGAUUGGAUUACUGCACUCAACCAACAUUUUAAUAUUGUUUACUUGAAAUUCAAAAUUAAUUACAAUAUAAACAAUAUGAUUGUGAUGUAGAUUUUUAACGGAUUAAUUACAGACCAAUUAUCUGUAAUUAUUCUACGUCACAAUCACUUUGUUUAAUUUAUAUUGUAUAGUCUUGUAUCAGCCAAAAAUCAAUAUGUACUCAUUAUAUAUGAAGGACUACAUCAAUUAAAUAUAGUUACAGUGUA
rnacentral:misc_RNA from 1 species